rnacentral:lncRNA from 10 species
CACACAUAAACACUUCUUCAUCAUUAUAGGACAACCAUGUCUUAAAGUAUGCCAGUAAUCUUUCUAUUUCUGAUACCUAUGAAUAUCAGAGAAAUUAGUGAAGGGGAGAUUUUAAAUGAAUUUAUAAACCCACACUGAGUAUACAGAAGUCAGGACUGUGGUCCUUAGUCUGCUUUUUUUUUUUUUUUUUUUUUUUGGCCAAAGUCAGCAUUUAUCUCUCUUAAUCUCAAGCUUAAAAUACACUUGGGUUGAAAAUGCGAAACUCCAUGUUGAAAAUGGACCUUUUCUCUCUUGGGGAUAGCAACUGCAAUGAUUUUAUUGGCUCAAAUGUUGCAUUAUGCCCAAUCUUCCUAUGAGUUUAUCCGAGAGAAACUUCCCUCUCUUCUUCCUUAUGCAGGUGUCAAGCUUGAGGCAUAUCCCAAAUCUCCUUCACAACUUCUGUUCACAGUACAGUACAACAACUGUCAAAGUAAACAUUUUGUGCAGCUCUUCUCUCGAUCAAAAGAUGGCAGCCAGCCUCAGCAGCCCAAACCCUUUCAUAGAUGAGAUGGUUUCAAAGAGGAAUAUUUGACAGUUCCAUGUAUACAGCCAGAAUAUGUCUGUCUAUAUUUGCAACCAUGAAACUGGUAUUUAAAAGAUGCGUAGUGUUUUCAGGGGGAGGCUCUCAAUCCAUCAGAUUGGUGCUAUUGUUAUUAAUAUACUAGUCAAAAUAGUUUACUUCUGUGUUGUUGCUCUUUCUGUUUUUCUUUUUAAUAUUUUUGGUAAAUGCCUCAGUUUGAUAGGCAUUUCCAUAUGCAUACGAGACACUGUACUAAAUGUUAAGUAAUGUUAUGUACCAACUACCAGUUAUGAAGUAAUUAAAUAAAAAUGAAAGAAAGAAAAAGUAAAGUUCGAAGAAAAUUAAAAACCAAACCACAGUAAGUUAAGGACCUUAACACAUUGAAUGGUUUUCCAAUGGCAUUUAGCUUUACACGAGAUUGCUGUGUAUUUUAAUUAAACUUAUUAAUAAAUAAAAGUUGGCAAAAAGAAAACACUCUAUUCAUCACUUUCUUUGAAUGUGGCCAGUCCUUUUAAAUUCCUUAACAAUAACCAGAAUAGCUUUCAAAUUUUAUAUUGCUGUAAUACAUCCAUAUUGGCAAAGCAAGGC